AUGGCCCACGUUGUCCUCAACUUCAACGCGUUCCUAGAGAAAACCAAGCUGAAAGACGAUGGCAGCAACUAUACGGACUGGUUCCAGAACCUGAGGAUGAUCCUCAUAGCUGCCAAGAAAGAUUAUGUCCUAGAAGCGCCGCUAGGUGACGCACCUGUCCCAGAGAACCAAGACGUUAUGAACGCUUGGCAGUCACGUGCUGAUGAUUACUCCCUCGUUCAGUGCGGCAUGCUUUACAGCUUAGAACCGGGGCUCCAAAAGCAUUUUGAGAGACACGGAGCAUAUGAGAUGUUCGAAGAGCUAAAAAUGGUUUUUCAAGCUCAUGCCCGGGUCGAGAGAUAUGAAGUCUCUGACAAGUUCUUCAGCUGUAAGAUGUAG
rnacentral:rRNA from 1 species